rnacentral:misc_RNA from 1 species
AACGCACAUUGCGCCCUACGGCAUUCCGUAGGGCAUGCCUGUUCGAGCGUCAUUUCAACCCUCAAGCCUAGCUUGGUGUUGGGCAUAGCCUCUCUGGCCGGCCCUAAAGAUAGUGGCGGUGCCGCCUGGCCUUUAGCGUAGUACAGCUCUCGCUCUAGGGUCAUGUAGUAGCCUGCUAGAACCUCCAUCUCUAUGGUUGACCUCGGAUCAGGUAGGGAUACCCGCUGAACUUAA